GCACUGCUGAAGAGUCCCAUACUAGGACGAAAUGACUGUCCAGUGC
rfam:Schistosoma margrebowiei strain Zambia genome assembly, scaffold: SMRZ_scaffold0000268